AACAUUAGCACAGGGACCUAGACCGUGCACCAGAUAUAGUAAGUACUUUGGGACUGAUAAUAAUAACUAAGAAAACAUGAAGCUGGAAAUUCAUUUCAGCUCUGAGAUAACACCAAGAAGUUUCUGAAAUGUCUUAUAUAAAAGUGCAGCCAAGUGAAGAAAUGCAGCUCCGCUCAACAUUCGGUCUUCUCAGCUUGUCAAUCAGCAUGUGCAAACACUUGCUUUGAAGUGGCAGGAAACAUCAACAAAGGAGCUCAUUUAAACUUUUUAAGAAAGAUUGGAAGUCUAGCUGAACUGCUAGAUUCCUCAGCCCUUGUCUCAUGGAUGAAGUAGUGGGUAGAGUGAAGAAGCUGAAAAAACUUGGAGAUACUGUACUUAUUUACAUAAGAAAAGGCUUGAGUUCUCCAAAAAGGAAAAUUCCCAAAGCAACAGCAAGGAGAGGAAAAAGCAAGCCAGAGAAUCAGGAGCAUUUAAGAGAAAGCCAGUGGGUCCUGGGAGGAACUGGAGGAGCCGGAGCCGGUGCUGGCAGUGCGGGGCUUCAAGGAGCUGAAUCGCAGAGGGGUUUCCAGGCUGUUCCAUUGUAUGUUAUAUGAUGUAACCCCCUUCAAACGACUUCAGUAAAGACUCACAUUACAUUUCAAGGCUUGUGGAACAAUGCAGAAGUGUUCUUUUCUUAUGUGUUAUUGUCUUGGCCUGAUUGGUAAAGCAGGAGUAUGAUAGCGCAAAUUAUUGGAGUGGUGUGCAGAAAGGUCACAUACGGUGGGGCUGGCAUUUAAGGCUCUGUUCUCUUGCAUGAAAAGUGACUGAAAUGGCACAAAACCUGGCAAGUGCAUUUAACCCUAACCCACAUGUGCUUACAAGCAUGACUGAUGGACUCCCACGUAAGUGCCACUCAAGCCUGCUCCCGCUCGUCAGUGCCUCAGGUGGAUGCUGAGGCUCCAGCCAGGCAUCACUGCAGUGACCAGUGACCACAGAGCACUGCCAGGUCUGUCGUCCACCUCUCCACGGCUUCAUCACCUCACAGAGACCCCACCAUACUGCUCCCGGGAAGAAAUACCCCCAAAAAUGUAUGACUGUCUCUGAAAUUGUGCAUGAUUCAUUUUCUUCCUUAGGUUUUUUCUAUAUUUGCCAAAUAUGCUGUGUUAAGCAAAUCAUACAUGGUUUUGGUACAAUUUUUAAAAAUUGGUUUUUCUCCCCAGUUCCUUGCACAGAACACCUAAAACCCUUGGAAUUUAUUGAGACAUAGCAGUAUCUUUUGUUAUUAAUGCCGAUCCCCUUUGGAUCACCCCAGAGUUUAUGCUAAUGAAGUAACUUUGGGUGGGGCCCCUAGAUAGUCUCCCUUGGGUCUGGUCACCAGAAAGAGCAAGUGAUUAUAGAGCUAGAAUUUUCAUCCCCACUCACAGACCUCCAGGAUGUUGGGGAACUGGGGAUGGCUAGAGAUUAAGCUCUAUAAAAACUCUUGAACAAAGAGAUUUGAUAAGCUUCUGGGUGGCUGAGCAUGUGAAGGUGCUGGGAGGAGGCACCCUGAAAGGGCUGGAAGCUCCGAGUCCCACCUCCAUAUCUUGCCCAAUGCAUCCCCUGACUUAGUUUUUCCUAAGUUGUAUUCUUUGUAAUAAACCAGUAAACAUAAGUAAAGUGCUUCCCUCAGUUCUGUGAGACAUUGUGGCAAAUUAUUGAACAUGAGGAGGGGGUCCUGGGUACCUUGGAUUUAUAGUUGGUCAAUCAGAAAUAUCAGAGGCCUGGACUUGUGAUUGGCAAGUGGGGCAGUCUUGUGAGAUUGAGCUGACUCCAGAUAGUGUCAGAAUCUAAUUAAAUUGCAGAAUACCCAACUGGUGUUUGGAGAGUUGAAGAAUUGCCUGGUGUGGAAAACCCCCACACAUCUGGUGUCAGAAGCGUUGUGUGAGGAUGUAGAAAAACAGAGUGUGUUUUCCCAGUGGCUACAGUCCCUUAACAUACACAUGUGUUACUUUAAAAGAAAGCAAGCAAACCAUCUUCUUAAUUAUAACAAUGGUUAAACAACGGGGCGGGCCACUUACAGUUGCUUAUACAGUCAAUCUCUCUGGACAUUUCUUAGAAAAAUCAAUGACUUUGACUUUGGUAAUUUGGAAGUCAGCCUUCUUGGUAGCAUGAAAUUGUAAAUAGUCUAUACAUUUCUCUUCCUUCUCUUCUCAUCCUGGAGGUCUGUGAGUGGGGAUGAAAAUUCCAACUCUGUAAUCAUUUGGUCUUCCUGGUGCUUCAGGUAUUCCCUGUAAUAAAGGAAUUUUAUUUACCCUUCUAGAUUUCUCCCUCCUGAUCCAUUUUCAUACUGCCGUUCUCUAGAUCUAUGUCAAACAACACACACUUUGACCGUGCUCACAAACCUGCAAUAUUUCCUUGUUAU
rnacentral:lncRNA from 1 species